rnacentral:rRNA from 1 species
UAAGAGGUCCCGCCUGCCCUGUGACUAUACGUUUAACGGCCGCGGUAUUUUGACCGUGCAAAGGUAGCGCAAUCACUUGUCUUUUAAAUGAAGACCCGUAUGAAUGGCACAACGAGGGCUUAACUGUCUCCUUUUUCUAGUCAAUGAAAUUGAUCUCCCCGUGCAGAAGCGGGGAUACAACCAUAAGACGAGAAGACCCUGUGGAGCUUUAGACAACAGGACAGACCAUGUUAAUAUAACCUAAUUAAAGAACAAAACCAAUUGGACCCUGCCCCUAUGUCUUUGGUUGGGGCGACCGCGGGGGAACAAAAAGCCCCCAUGUGGAGUGAGAGUACUUCUCCCACAACCAAGAGCGACAGCUCUAAGUAACAGAACUUCUGACCAUUAAGAUCCGGCCAAGCCGAUCAACGAAACGAGUUACCCCAGGGAUAACAGCGCAAUCCUCUUUUAGAGCCCAUAUCGACAAGAGGGUUUACGACCUCGAUGUUGGAUCAGGACAUCCUAAUGGUGCAGCCGCUAUUAAGGGUUCGUUUGUUCAACGAUUAA